GGUGUCGCAUUGCAGAAAAUAAAAACAUGGAUAGAAGAUUGGCUAACAGGAAACAGAGGUAAGAGAACAAACAGCUAAGAUGCUGAUGAGAAAAGAGCCAGGUAGGGUGCCGCUUUCCUUCUCUCCAACCCACCUUGCAAGCUUCGAAUCCUGUUUGCUGACCAUGACUGUCCAGGGGUGUCCCUGCUGCAGAAAAAGACUUCUUAGAAGAAUCAGCCCAUCACUACCAUCUCCAGGAAAACAGCCAAAUCAGCCAUCAAGCAUUGAGACCACCGAAGGAAAGUCGCAAGAUCACCAAAUUCAACCUGAAGCCAACUGAGUCACCAAACUACGGACUGUAUACCCUUUUAUUUCUCUGAAAGUAUAAAUUAAGAUGACCAAUCUAUUGGUGUGCUUGUGUGAACUUUGCGAAUGUGAGAGAAAGUCAGAGUAUAUUAUUAUCUAAUAAAUCAGUUUAAGUAUAAUAAAGCUAACCUCUUUCUUUGUUGAACUCAAGACGACCAGUCUGGUUCUUUUGAUCACAGUGCGUAAAUAGCUAAACACUCACUGAAUUGGAAAGUAUAUCUUUUGAAAAAAACCUGUUGCAGUCAAACGAUGAGAGGGGAUCCAUUCGAACUGUCCCCAGCUGAUUAUAGCAGCUGAUUAAUUGGACAGGCCCCACACUUCCCCAAAGUAAAUUGGCCAUACUCUGUGUGAUCAUGUUCAGCUGACUGACCAGUGUGACUGCUGGGACCUGUGGCCUGAUCAUAAAAUACAGUAUAUUGUGUAAUUCAAGUCUACUGUGACCUUUUAGUCUGCAGCAACAUCAGUGAAACGGCUGCCACAGUAGUGACUGCUGUGGUCAGUUUAAAUUGGUCCUACGCUUGAGUUGGCUCUCCUCUGUUUUCACCCCCGUGACUGUUAUGUGGCCGCCAAAUCCAUUUCAUAGCAAUUAGGGGUCAGUCCCAUGAAACCCGUGGGCCCCCACUUCCAGGGGCAGGUUCAGGACCCUUCAUGUUUCUGACUUCUAUUUCCUGCACCUGCUGUGUAACUCCAGUCAAUAAUGUUCACUAUUAGGCUGUUAACUAAUUUUGGCUCGUUAUUCAGCAUGAAAUCUAUUAUGACCUACUAAGUGAGCUUUUAUUCAGAUGGUACAAUGACAAAUUUAACUACCCAACUGAAAUGCUUCUCCAAUUCUCUUCCAUUUCCCUGGCCAGUUUUCUGAGCCCCAGGAUUAAGUGUUGCGCAAGUUAAAUUUGGAAUUAUGUUAAACAAUUUGCAAAUACCUCUUUAAAGUCUCCUAGGGAUGUUAAUUGCACCAAUAAUUAUUCAUCCGCUUACAAUAAUUAAAUCCCUGUAGCUUUCUCGCUGGCAUCAAACUAUUUCUGUUAAACAUGCUUUGCAGAUGGGUUACACGGUUGCUUGAAAAAUCAAAAUAUUUGCUGCCCUACACCCCCGCCCCCCCAACUCCCAAUCCAUCCUUUCAUGGGAAUUAAAUUUCCUCCCCCCCCCCUUGACCCAUGCGAUAAAUAUUCAAUUACCUUAUGAAACAGCCAGUCUGCUUUGAUGUCCAUCCACCUUAAGAGUGCUGAUUUGGAACUCUGCUAAAACACUGAACUACUCAAUAGAUUGAGAGUUACACCAGAUUAGACAGGAGGCAAUUGAACUAUAAUGAUAAACUGGGGAAACAGGUGCUCACUAGAAAUGUUCCUUUAGCAACCCUAAACUUCCCAGGCAUAAUGCACAAGUUAGCCCCUUUAAGUUAUCACAUGUGCCUGACCAUGUAAAAAAGUAAUGAAAUUGUCCAUGCUCUUAAACAAAUUGGCUGUGUGCUACAAAAAUAGCAUUGAAAGAAGAGUAAAGAGAACUUUACAGGUAAAUGGCAUAUAAAGGUAUUAUAGCGCACUUGUUCAAAAUAAAUGUUGACAGUGAAAUAAAAGGUAUAGCUUCAAACUAGUGAAAGACAACUAGGACUAAUGUCAGAAAGAAAUUUUCUACAUGGAUAAACAACAUUUUGAAUAGAAGACCAGACUUCUGGUUGUUCAAGGACAUGCAAUGUGCCAUUAAUGCUUAAUGGUUUCCUCGAUAGGCAUGCUGAUUGGCCAUAUGAUAUGAAAAAUGGCUACGUGAAGUACUCCGCAUAUCUAUUUACAUAAAAAGUUGACUGUGCUUCACAUUCCAUGCUUCAAAGUGGAAGAACUGUCAACAGAUAAGUGGGUCAGGAUCUGCUUUGAAGAUUGCUGUGGAAGAUCUAGUUCCCCCACUAUGUUUCAAUUUGGCAGACACAGCCUCUUAAAUGUAAAAGCGUAGAGUCUUGCUACAUUUCUGGCUGCUUUAAUAAUAUAAUAAAAAGCCACAACAAUUAUGCUGAUUACCACUACCAAACUGAUCACUGGAAAGGCUUCCUGGUGUGCAGAUUUACAACUCAACUCUGGGAUUUUAAAAAUUCAAAUAAUAGAUUCUCUCUUCCUGCAAAAAAAAAUUGUCUUGUUACGUUUCAGGAUCUUUUGAUCAUUUCUCUGCAGAAUAAAUUUGGAAGAAGAAUUACUAUUAAUGAUAGAUUUGUAAGGACAUUGCUUGUUCUCUCAAGUUUAACAUAAGUACAGUGAUAGAAUAUGAGCUAGAGUAGUUGCUUUCCCCACUGAAUAUAUAAUAUUGCACUGAAAGCAUUUUGAUUUCUAUUCUUUCUGUGAACAGUGAGAUAUAAAACACAAACAUGCUAGAGAGAAGUUUGAAAUUGUAUUUUGCAAUGCAGUCAGGCAACAAAGACCGCAAGAAGGUUGGUUAGAAUUCAGGAAAAGAAAGGAAGAAUUUGUGUUUAUUUAGUCUCUUUCACAAUGUCAGUGUGUCCCAAAGGGCUUCACAAGCAAUGAAGUGCUCUUGAAGUGUAGCAAAUAUUGUAGGAAACACAACAGCCAAUUUGUGCACAACCCGUUUCAUGAACAGCAAUGAGGUAAUGUCCAGAUAAUCUGGCCGAGACACUGGAGAAGAACUCCCCUCCUUAUCGUUAAAUAGUGCUCAAGAAUCUUCUACAUUAACCUAAGAGGACACCUGAUUUAAUGAGUGAGAUUUUAACUUAUUCAGAACCCACUGACUUGCACAGAGUUAAAAUCGGGCUCCGUGAGCCAUCUGUUAUGUGGGAAACUUGAUCACGUGGUCACAACUGUUUUGCAAUUUGUGUUUUAUUUCGAGAUGUGUGCCCUAAAUUCAGAAGUAAGAAGACAACCAUGACUUCACAGAUUUUUAGAAAACUAAAACAUUUAUUAGCAAAAGAAAAAAUUUCAAGCCCAUACAUAGGUCUACAAAUUCCUACCAUAAUAGCUCCUGAAACCCUUAAAUUAAUCUGGUUUCCAACUACACCCCUGUUAAAGCAACAGUAAAAACAAAUAGAUUUAAACAGACCCAGGCAAAGCCACACAAUACCCUGGACAGUUGAAUUCAAAGUGAGUUUUCUCAGCUUUGGUUCCUGUAGACUGCAAUGCAAUGUGCAGAGGCUGGAGGUUUUUCACACUUGUGUUAGAUCUUAGAAUGUUUUCUCCUACCAACUGAGCCAAGGUUGACACCUUUUAAGGAGCAGGAGAUAAAACUCAAAUUAUGUUAAGUCAAGUGAGAUAACUCUGGUGAUGAAUCGCAUGUUCUUUAUAGUGUUACACAAGGAUAAGUUAUUCUGAUUAAAUUCACCAAGUCUGAUCACAACUGAUUUUUACAUUCACAUAACUGCAAAGUAAAGAAGCUUAUUGAUUUUUAACAUGACCUGUAUUCCUGAGUGUUUGUUCAGUCCACCCUCAGAGAGAUUGAUGAAGUACACAUUCAAAAGACAUGAAUAUCUAGUCAGGAUACAAGAUAGCAGUAUUGUUAAACCCUCAGAUCACAUGAUUGUACUGGUAGAUAUAGGAUGGUGUGGGCAUUUUCCAUAAAAGUAGCAUUACUCAUGUGAGAUGCAUUCUACUAAUUUUGACAAAUUUCUGCUAAAUCUUAGGUAGUUCCAACAUUUGCUUGCAACUCUUCCAUUUGGAGAUGAAAGAGCAGAAUUGCCUUCAUGUGGAAGGAUUAAAAGCUUUAUUUUAGGGAUAACAUGGAACAGAAUUCCAUUCUCAUGUCUCAUUGUCCGAUAAUACCAAAUUGCAGACAUAUGAAAUGUGCACUGAGCUUAUACUCAUUAAAUUCUUUGAAGACACGCAAAUUAUUAACACACAGGGUCUCAGUUUUACGCCAUUGCUAUAAUGACAGUGUCAUCAAAGCAAGUAGUCUUCCUAAUGGCAUUCAGUUUAUGCUUCAAGUUCUACAUACACUUUUAACAGCUUUGUAAUCAAAAUAUUUUGUUAUUUAAGGUGCUUUUUCAACCAGUGGGUCAGCAGGCAUCUCUCUUAAAUCAGCACGUUGGCUUUUACAAGAUUAUGUGAUUUUCAUUAUAACUGAUAUAACUAUAAUUCUGAAUGAAUUUAUAAUUUUCAAAAAAAGAGGCAAACACAAUGUUAUUUUUUGUCACAGCUUUGGAUCAAAUGUUUUUAGCUCAUUCAAAUCAAAAAAUGUCAGCAAAAUUUUAUUAAGUAUGACAAGAAUCUCUUCUUUCAUUUUGUUAUUUGAUGAAUAUGCCUAUAUAUUUUAGAUUAUGAUGUUAGCUACUUCCAUUAACUGUUGUAUAAUGUAUAUUAUAAUAAAAGGUAGGUAUGCUCUUGGCCCUA